rnacentral:rRNA from 1 species
GGAACGAGUUGUCUGAACCUUCGGGGGACGAUAACGGCGUCGAGCGGCGGACGGGUGAGUAAUGCCUAGGAAAUUGCCCUGAUGUGGGGGAUAACCAUUGGAAACGAUGGCUAAUACCGCAUAACGCCUACGGGCCAAAGAGGGGGACCUUCGGGCCUCUCGCGUCAGGAUAUGCCUAGGUGGGAUUAGCUAGUUGGUGAGGUAAGGGCUCACCAAGGCGACGAUCCCUAGCUGGUCUGAGAGGAUGAUCAGCCACACUGGAACUGAGACACGGUCCAGACUCCUACGGGAGGCAGCAGUGGGGAAUAUUGCACAAUGGGCGCAAGCCUGAUGCAGCCAUGCCGCGUGUGUGAAGAAGGCCUUCGGGUUGUAAAGCACUUUCAGUCGUGAGGAAGGUAGUGUAGUUAAUAGCUGCAUUAUUUGACGUUAGCGACAGAAGAAGCACCGGCUAACUCCGUGCCAGCAGCCGCGGUAAUACGGAGGGUGCGAGCGUUAAUCGGAAUUACUGGGCGUAAAGCGCAUGCAGGUGGUUUGUUAAGUCAGAUGUGAAAGCCCGGGGCUCAACCUCGGAAUUGCAUUUGAAACUGGCAGACUAGAGUACUGUAGAGGGGGGUAGAAUUUCAGGUGUAGCGGUGAAAUGCGUAGAGAUCUGAAGGAAUACCGGUGGCGAAGGCGGCCCCCUGGACAGAUACUGACACUCAGAUGCGAAAGCGUGGGGAGCAAACAGGAUUAGAUACCCUGGUAGUCCACGCCGUAAACGAUGUCUACUUGGGAGGUUGUGGCCCUGAGCCGUGGCUUUCGGAGCUAACGCGUUAAGUAGACCGCCUGGGGGAGUACGGUCGCAAGAUUAAAACUCAAAUGAAUUGACGGGGGCCCGCACAAGCGGUGGAACCAUGUUGGUUUAAUUCGAUGCAACGCGAAGAACCUUACCUACUCUUGACAUCCAGAAAACUUUCCAGAAAAUGGAUUGGUGCCUUCGGGAA